GUGGUUCUGGCGGGGUGGCUGCACCCGGUCCCAUUCCGAACCCGGCCGUGAAACGCCCCAGCGCCGAUGGUACUUCGUCUUAAGACGCGGGAGAGUAGGUCGCCGCCA
rnacentral:rRNA from 1 species